rnacentral:rRNA from 1 species
CAAUAGCGUAUAUUAAAGCUGUUGCGGUUAAAAAGCUCGUAGUUGGAUUUCUGUCAAGGACAACUGGUCCGCCCUCCGGGUGAGCACAUAGUUUGGUCUUGACAUCUUGCUGGAAGCUGUUGCUGCACUUGGCUGUGUGGCGCAGUGUUCAGCACUUUCACUUUGAGGAAAUUGGAGUGUUUCAAGCAGGCACAUGCCUUUGGACACAGUAGCAUGGAAUAAUUAGAUUGGGCUUUUGCUCCAAUUUGUCGGUUUCUGGAGCUGAGGUGAGUAUUAAUGGGGAUUGUUGGGGGCAUCCGAAUUUAGCCGUCAGAGGUGAAAUUCUUGGAUCUGCUAAAGACGGACAACUGCGAAAGCGUUUGCCCAGGAUGUUUUCACUGA